rnacentral:rRNA from 1 species
GAUGAACGCUGGCGGCGUGCCUAAUACAUGCAAGUCGAGCGAACAGACGAGGAGCUUGCUCCUCUGACGUUAGCGGCGGACGGGUGAGUAACACGUGGAUAACCUACCUAUAAGACUGGGAUAACUUCGGGAAACCGGAGCUAAUACCGGAUAAUAUAUUGAACCGCAUGGUUCAAUAGUGAAAGACGGUUUUGCUGUCACUUAUAGAUGGAUCCGCGCCGCAUUAGCUAGUUGGUAAGGUAACGGCUUACCAAGGCAACGAUGCGUAGCCGACCUGAGAGGGGGACGGGCCAACUGGGAACGUGACACGGGUCCAGACCCGCAGGGGGGGCAGAGGUAGGGAAUUUUCCGCAAUGGGGGAAAGCCUGACGGAGCAACGCCGGGUGAGUGAUGAAGGGUUUCGGAUCGGAAAACUCUUUUAUUGGGGAAGAAAAAAUGGGUAAGUAACUAUGCCCGUUUGGACGGUACCUAAACAGAAAGCCACGGCUAACUACGU